rnacentral:rRNA from 1 species
AGAAUCAACGCUGGCGGCGUGCCUAACACAUGCAAGUCGAACGAGAAAGUGGAGCAAUCUACAAGUACAGUGGCGUACGGGUGAGUAACACGUGACUAACCUACCCUCGAGUGGGGAAUAACCUCGGGAAACCGGGGCUAAUACCGCAUAACAUCUACGGAUCAAAUGCGUAAGCAGCUUGAGGAGGGGGUCGCGGCUGAUUAGCUAGUUGGCGGGGUAAUGGCCCACCAAGGCAAUGAUCAGUAGCCGGCCUGAGAGGGCGCACGGCCACACUGGAACUGAAACACGGUCCAGACUCCUACGGGAGGCAGCAGUGGGGAAUUUUGCGCAAUGGGGGAAACCCUGACGCAGCAACGCCGCGUGGAGGAUGAAGCCCCUUGGGGUGUAAACUCCUUUCGAUCGGGACGAUAAUGACGGUAGUGGGAGAAGAAGCCCCGGCUAACUUCGUGCCAGCAGCCGCGGUAAUACGAAGGGGGCUAGCGUUGUUCGGAUUUACUGGGCGUAAAGGGUGUGUAGGCGGUUGCUUAAGUUUGGUGUGAAAUCUCCCGGCUCAACUGGGAGGGUGCGCCGAAUACUGAGUGACUCGAGUGCGGGAGAGGAAAGUGGAAUUCCUGGUGUAGCGGUGAAAUGCGUAGAUAUCAGGAGGAACACCGGUGGUGUAGACGGCUUUCUGGACCGUAACUGACGCUGAGACACGAAAGCGUGGGUAGCAAACAGGAUUAGAUACCCUGGUAGUCCACGCCCUAAACGAUGCACAUUUGGUGUGGGUCAUUCAGUUGAUCCGUGCCGGAGCUAACGCGUUAAAUGUGCCGCCUGGGGAGUACAGUCGCAAGGCUGAA